GAACUAUGAGUCACUUUAGAUUUGCUCUUAUAACUGCUGGAAGGGGUUGCUCUGCUUGAUCAGGGGAAAACAAGUGAGUAACACGUGAGUAACCUGCCCCUGACUCUGGGAUAAGCCUUGGAAACGAGGUCUAAUACUGGAUACGAGACGCACAGGCAUCUGUAGUGUCUGGAAAGAAUUUUGGUCAGGGAUGGACUCGCGGCCUAUCAGCUUGUUGGUGGGGUAAAGGCCUACCAAGGCGACGACGGGUAGCCGGCCUGAGAGGGCGACCGGCCACACUGGGACUGAGACACGGCCCAGACUCCUACGGGAGGCAGCAGUGGGGAAUAUUGCACAAUGGGCGAAAGCCUGAUGCAGCGACGCCGCGUGAGGGAUGAAGGCCUUCGGGUUGUAAACCUCUUUCAGCAGGGAAGAAGCGAAAGUGACGGUACCUGCAGAAGAAGCGCCGGCUAACUACGUGCCAGCAGCCGCGGUAAUACGUAGGGCGCAAGCGUUGUCCGGAAUUAUUGGGCGUAAAGAGCUCGUAGGCGGUUUGUCGCGUCUGCUGUGAAAACUCGAGGCUCAACCUCGGGCUUGCAGUGGGUACGGGCAGACUAGAGUGCGGUAGGGGAGACUGGAAUUCCUGGUGUAGCGGUGGAAUGCGC
rnacentral:rRNA from 1 species